GAUGAACGCUGGCGGCGUGCCUAAUACAUGCCAGUCGAGCGAACAGACGAGGAGCUUGCUCCUCUGACGUUAGCGGCGGACGGGUGAGUAACACGUGGAUAACCUACCUAUAAGACUGGGAUAACUUCGGGAAACCGGAGCUAAUACCGGAUAAUAUAUUGAACCGCAUGGUUCAAUAGUGAAAGACGGUUUUGCUGUCACUUAUAGAUGGAUCCGCGCCGCAUUAGCUAGUUGGUAAGGUAACGGCUUACCAAGGCAACGAUGCGUAGCCGACCUGAGAGGGUGAUCGGCCACACUGGAACUGAGACACGGUCCAGACUCCUACGGGAGGCAGCAGUAGGGAAUCUUCCGCAAUGGGCGAAAGCCUGACGGAGCAACGCCGCGUGAGUGAUGAAGGUCUUCGGAUCGUAAAACUCUGUUAUUAGGGAAGAACAAAUGUGUAAGUAACUAUGCACGUCUUGACGGUACCUAUCAGAAAGCCACGGCUAACUACGUG
rnacentral:rRNA from 1 species